AUGUUUCGGUUGCUGGGGUUGACGGUUUUCGUCCAUCAUGUGAGUUCGGUGACGAUCGAGCAAGUUCCCAGCUCAUUCUCCGCAUCGCCCGGGGACAGAGUGGAGUUCGGUUGCACCGUGACGGACAGCGCCGAUGAUAAUAUGUAUUGGUACCAGCAGCGCCCGGGAGAGAAACCUCGGUUCCUGUUUUAUUCCAUGACCAAGGAUCACGUAGAUCCGGCUAAAACGGUGGACGGUUUCACUGCGGAACGGCCUAACGGCAACCAGUUCAAACUGAAGACAUCCGACCUGCGAGCGAACCACUCGGCCAUGUAUUACUGCGCCUGGCGUCUGCACAGCGACUCAGACGGACGGAGGAGCUCGACAUAA